GGGAAUGUGGCUCAGUGGCAGAGUGCUUGCCUAGUAUGCAUGAAGCCCAGGGUUCAAUUCCUCAGUACCA
rnacentral:tRNA from 1 species